GACGUAGGAUGCAAGCGUUGUCCGGAUUUAUUGGGCGUAAAGAGUUCGUAGGUGGUUUGUUAAGUCUGAUGUUAAAGACUGGGGCUCAACCUCGGAAAUGCAUUGGAUACUGGCAGACUUGAGUGUGGUAGAGGCAAUCGGAAUUCCAGGUGUAGCGGUGAAAUGCGUAGAUAUCUGGAAGAACACCGGUGGCGCAAGCGGAUUGCUGGGCCAUAACUGACACUGAGGAACGAAAGCUAAGGGGAGCGAAUGGG
rnacentral:rRNA from 1 species